rnacentral:rRNA from 1 species
CCCUUAGAUGGUCUGGGCGGCACGCGCGCUACAAUGAUGCAUUCAAAAAGUCUUCUGACCUUAGAAGGUUGGGUAUUCUCCAAAGUGCAUCGUGAUGGGAAUAGUUUAUUGCAAUUUUUAAUCUUGAACGAGGAAUUCCUAGUAAGUACAGGUCAUCAACUUGUGUUGAUUACGUCCCUGCCCUUUGUACACACCGCCCGUCGCUCCUACUGAUUGAGUGUCUCGGUGAAUUCUUUGAUCUUCUGUCGAUUCAGUUCACUGAUCCGACGGUGGAAAGUUGAAUGAACUUCGUCACUUAGAGGAAGGAGAAGCCGUAACA